rnacentral:tRNA from 1 species
GCCCUGGUAGCUUAGUGGUAGAGCAUCUGUCUCGUAAAUCUUCGGGGCAACAGAAGGCCGUGGGUUCAACUCCCAUCCAGGGCU